rnacentral:tRNA from 1 species
GUGGGUGUAGCUCAGUGUUAGAGUGCAUGCUUAGCGUGCAUGAGGUCCUGGAUUCAAUCCCCAGUACCUCCA